GUAAAUAUAGUGUUAAGUAAGUUUCAAUACUUCCCUGCCACCUUUUCAGACAUUGCAGAGAUGUGUGACCGCACAAUUCUCAAACCGAAGAAUCAAAAGGAGUUAUUGAUUUAUCGGUAUAUAAAGUAUGUAUGCUUUAUCAAACAAAGCCACUAGGUAUUCGUGACACAGUUUACGUGUGAUGACGUGGGCAUCUCUCAACACACUUUGCAGCAUGAGCGACGGUGCCCUGGCGGGAUAUCUGGAAAUGUAGCCUUGAGCUCAGUUUAUUUUUCUCCGUCACCUCACCCGGGGGAGGGGGGGGGGAGCCAAUGACUUUGGGUACUUUGGGGACAAGUGCAGAAUUUCGCCAGCAAUUUAACCUCAAGUCUCCAAGAUUUUUAGCCCCCAUUGGUACCCAAAAGUCUCCUUUAGAAGUCAUUUAAUAAAA